AUCAGAAGCAAAAUUCCCCAGGACAGCUCACAGUGAAGGUGUCUAUGAGCUUCACACCACGGCAGGGACAUAAGCAUUUCGACCAGCCGUGUACAUUCCC